rnacentral:tRNA from 1 species
GAGCUAGCUCAAUGGUAGAGCAACGGAUUCAAGAUCCGUCGGUUGCGGGUUCGAUCCCCGCGCUGAACGCAA